rnacentral:tRNA from 1 species
GGUCCCAUAGCUCAGUUGGUUAGAGCGUCGUACUAAUAUUUCGAGCUUCGAAAUGUUGAGUGAUGCGAAGGCCGAGAGUUCAAGCCUCUCUGGGACCA